rnacentral:misc_RNA from 1 species
UACAGAAGCCUCGAGCGUUACCCGGAAUCACUGGGCGUAAAGGGUGCGUAGGCGGUUAUAUUAGUCGGAUGUUAAAUCCCGAGGCUCAACCUCGGAAUCGCAUUCGAAACGGUAUAACUAGGAGGAGUGAGAGGUGUGCGGAACUCAAGGUGUAGGGGUGAAAUCCGUUGAUAUCUUGGGGAACACCAAAUGCGAAGGCAGCACACUGGCACUCUCUCGACGCUGAGGCACGAAAGCGUGGGGAGCAAACAGG